rnacentral:rRNA from 1 species
UACGUAGGGGGCAAGCGUUGUCCGGAAUCAUUGGGCGUAAAGAGCGUGUAAGCGGCCAGAAAAGUCCGCUGUGAAAACUCGAGGCUCAACUUCGAGCUGUCGGUGGAAACUUUCUGGCUAGAGUCCGGAAGAGGAGAAUGGAAUUCCUGGUGUAGCGGUGAAAUGCGCAGAUAUCAGGAGGAACACCAACGGCGAAGGCAGCUCGCUGGGACGGUACUGACGCUGAGACGCGAAAGCGUGGGGAGCGAACAGG